CUACGGAGGGUGCAAGCGUUACUCGGAAUCACUGGGCGUAAAGCGCGCGCAGGCGGGCUGAUAAGUUGGAUGUGAAAGCCUACGGCUCAACCGUAGAACUGCAUCCAAAACUGUCAGGCUAGAGUCUGGGAGGGGAAGAUGGAGUUAGUUGUGUAGGGGUAAAAUCCGUAGAGAUAACUAGGAAUACCAAAAGCGAAGGCGAUCUUCUGGAACAGUACUGACGCUGAGGUGCGAAAGCGGGGGGAGCAAACAGGAUUAGAAACCCUAGUAGUCC
rnacentral:rRNA from 1 species